GAUGAAGAACGUAGCGAAAUGCGAUAAGUAAUGUGAAUUGCAGAAUUCAGUGAAUCAUCGAAUCUUUGAACGCACAUUGCGCCCCCUGGUAUUCCGGGGGGCAUGCCUGUUCGAGCGUCAUUUCACCACUCAAGCCUCGCUUGGUAGUGGGCAACGCGGUCCGCCGCGUGCCUCAAAUCGACCGGCUGGGUCUUCUGUCCCCUAAGCGUUGUGGAAACUAUUCGCUAAAGGGUGUUCGGGAGGCUACGCCGUAAAACAACCCCAUUUCUAAGGUUGACCUCGGAUCAGGUAGGGAUACCCGCUGAACUUAAGCAUAUCAAUAAGCGGAGGA
rnacentral:misc_RNA from 1 species